GCCCAGGUGAAAUGUGUCAUUUGCUUGUCGCGGUUUCACCGUGGAAGACGUUGUUUAUCUGUUACAGUACACGUUUAAAAAUAUUCUAUUCAAAGUUAAACUUGAAAAUAGAUUCCCACCAGCCGCGAUAUAUAAAAAUCAGGUCUUAUGUAGAGUGGCUCAUCAGAGCUAACAACUUGUCAGUGGAAAUGCUAACAGCGUUAUGGGAUGUUACCUGCUCAACAACAGACUUCGAGGAUGUCAGUCAUCUCUCAGAGGAUUACCAAGCAGGACAAUGCGGUGGAAGUGAGAAAAUGCAGCUAACGCCAACCCAAACUGACAACACAAACAAGCAGAGGAGACUGAGGAGAACAGGCAGCUGCAGACCAGAGCGGAUGAGCUGUAGACUACGAGAGAAGUUGAACUCAGCACUGACCUCUCUGCUUGAAUGCCUGAUGCUGGAGAGCCACAGGAGGCAGACUUCAAAUGAGAGAAGAUCCAGCCCAGAGGCAUGAUUGGCUCGUGAUGGCGUGCAUCUCUUCUCCACCCUGCAAUACACUUCAUCUACUUCUUAUUUACCUCUGUAUGUACUACCUUUACAAGUCAGCUCAACCGGGUCACCCACCUCUUGAUUUCCAGCAGUGUUGUAGUUGUUAUCUGUCUUUAUUAAUUUAAAAUGAAUCUGUAAGUAUGGCUCUUUGCAUCUUGAAAACACCUGCAGUUGAUAUUUUAUUCUGCUUGUAAUUUGCAUAGGAGUCAAACAAAUAUGGAAAGCCAGCGUGAGCCUUGCAGAAGGGUAAAUGCAUCACAUUUCACACUGCAGCCCUACACACAUACAAGCUGCAAUUAAAAUGUCUGUCAAAAAGCUCACAACUCUGUAUUUGAUAUAAUGUUUAGAGGUAUAAGGUUGGAUAUGUGAGCCAACAGCUAUUUAAACUAGUGUAUAAACAGUAAUGUCAUAUAAAUGGUAAUUAACACCAUUUUUUCCCUCACUAUAGUCAUAGUUAAAACACAGGUGUUCUCAGUUUAAAACAUCUGAAAUAAAAACCCUCCAGGUGAGAAUUACUGCAGCUCUACAGAAAUUCACCUUUAAUUUCUCAUUAUAUCACAAGCCUUUACCAUGUAGAAAUAAUAACACUGUUUUUACAACAACAAAGAACAUCUUGUUGAUCACAUUUGUUUGUGUACUGUUUGUACACACAGUGUCAGCACAGCUAAGUAGAGCUAAGUUUACAAUAGUUUUAGGUGUUUGCUCACCGAGUUAAAAAUCUGUGUCAAUAUUUACAAAAAUACUGACACAAACACAGUACAUAAAAUAAAACCAAACAAGCCCAAUUUUCACUGAA